GCCAGGUGUGGUGGUUCACACCUGUAUUCCCAGCUACUAGGGAGGCUGAGGUGGGAGGAUCACUUGAACCCGGGAGGCUGAGGUUGCAGUGAGCCAAGCAGAGAUUACAACACUGUACUCCAGCCUGGGCAACAGAGUGAGACUCCAUCUCAA
rnacentral:sRNA from 1 species